rnacentral:rRNA from 1 species
CGUUUCUUUGCUGGCGACCGGCGCACGGGUGAGUAACACGUAUCCAACCUGCCCUUUACUCGGGGAUAGCCUUUCGAAAGAAAGAUUAAUACCCGAUGGCAUAAUGAUUCCGCAUGGUUUCAUUAUUAAAGGAUUCCGGUAAAGGAUGGGGAUGCGUUCCAUUAGGUUGUUGGUGAGGUAACGGCCCACCAAGCCUUCGAUGGAUAGGGGUUCUGAGAGGAAGGUCCCCCACAUUGGAACUGAGACACGGUCCAA